AUAGUGCCACUCCCUUUGGGGGCCAUUUUCUUUUCAACUACCACAUUAUCUAUAGAAUUUAUGUUUCUUUUUUGUUUUGUUUUUCAGACAGGUCCUUUAUGAAGCCCUGGAUGGCCUAGAACUCACAGAGAUCUGCUUGUCUCCGUCUCCAGAGUAUUGGGAUUAAAGAACAGCCUGAAACCUGGUUUCUUCUCUCAGGCAUUCAUGAGCUCACGCCACAGAACAAAGCAAAUCAUGAAUCAAGUUACUUCUCAGACACACUGGUGGAAAUAUCAGGAUUUUUGUAAGUUCCAGGGAGCCGAAUCAGAUCCAAACAGUCAGAUUCACUCCAGGUCUAAGAGGCACCAGGGAGUUCCAUACAGCCUGGACUGCAAUGAAACAACCAGCUUCCCCAGGAUGUGGCAGCACCCCAACCUUCUCGGGUCCCCCAAAGAUGGUCAACGCCCCCCACGUCAGCAGGAAGCAGUCUUGAGAAUUCGACGCCCUUAUUCCUUAACCUGCCAUGUCUAAACACCCCACCUUUUUUUUAAUAAUAAGUAGAGGUGGGAAUGAAAGGUUCAGGCAUUAUGCUGGCCUGCUCCUGUUACCUGGUGGAACAGGCAGUACCCUGGUCAGCCCAAGGUUCCAUGGGAACUAAGUCUGCACGCAGAUACAGAGGACCCCUUUAAAAGAUAGGCCCCUGCCCAUUUACGCUCUCUGUUCCCUCUCUCUGUUCCCCUCUCUCUGUUUCCCUCUCUCUGUUUCCCCGCUCUGUUUCCUCUCAGCUUCCUUUCUACUCUCUCUCACCUAUGUGCUCUCUCUAUGGCGACCGGCCAUGGCGGUCAGCC
rnacentral:lncRNA from 1 species